rnacentral:rRNA from 1 species
ACCAGACUCCUACGGGAGGCAGCAGUGGGGGAUAUUGCACAAUGGGGGGAACCCUGAUGCAGCGACGCCGCGUGGGUGAAGAAGUAUUUCGGUAUGUAAAGCCCUAUCGGCAGGGAAGAAAUUGGACGGUACCUGACUAAGAAGCCCUGGCUAACUACGUGCCAGCAGCCGCGGUAAUACGUAGGGGGCAAGCGUUAUCCGGAUUCACUGGGUGUAAAGGGAGCGUAGACGGCCAUGCAAGCCUGGAGUGAAAGCCCGGGGCCCAGCCCCGGGACUGCUCUGGGAACUGUGCGGCUGGAGUGCGGGAGGGGCAGGCGGAAUUCCUGGUGUAGCGGUGAAAUGCGUAGAUAUCAGGAGGAACACCGGCGGCGAAGGCGGCCUGCUGGGCUUUUACUGACGCUGAGGCUCGAAAGUGUGGGGAGCAAACAGGAUUAGAUACCCGUGUA